GUCAUAUGCUUGUCUCAAAGAUUAAGCCAUGCAUGUCUCAGUACAAGCCAAAUUAAGGUGAAACCGCGAAAGGCUCAUUAAAUCAGUUAUGGUUCCUUAGAUCGUACCCACAAUUACUUGGAUAACUGUGGUAAUUCUAGAGCUAAUACAUGCAAACAGAGCUCCGACCGGAGACGGAAGGAGUGCUUUUAUUAGAUCAAAACCAAUCGGUGGCGGGCUUGCUCGUCAUCGUACAACUUGGUGACUCUGAAUAACUUUACGCUGAUCGCACGGUCAUCGCACCGGCGACGCAUCUUUCAAAUGUCUGCCUUAUCAACUGUCGAUGGUAGGUUCUGCGCCUACCAUGGUUGUAACGGGUAACGGGGAAUCAGGGUUCGAUUCCGGAGAGGGAGCCUGAGAAACGGCUACCACAUCCAAGGAAGGCAGCAGGCGCGCAAAUUACCCACUCCCGGCACGGGGAGGUAGUGACGAAAAAUAACGAUACGGGACUCAUCCGAGGCCCCGUAAUCGGAAUGAGUACACUCUAAACCCUUUAACGAGGAUCAAUUGGAGGGCAAGUCUGGUGCCAGCAGCCGCGG
rnacentral:rRNA from 2 species